AUUAAUUUUUAACUCUUCGUCUUAUUUAAUUUUUUUGUGAUUGAUAUUUUUGUUUUUAUUAAAUAAUAAAUCAUAAAUAGUACUUUACGUGUGACUAAUUUUUUCUAAUUUCCUGAAAUUUUUUUAAAUAAAACGGACGGUCAAAUAUUGGACACGGAAACUGAAG
rnacentral:pre_miRNA from 1 species